CACCUACUCAGCUCUAUUACAUGUUGGAAAAACUGAACCAGAGAAACAGUUACAUACACUAUCUCUUCUGGAAAAGCUGGAUUGGGUUUUGGUCUGUAUCAAUAGGGCCCAUUAUACAGGCUGCCUUUCCAGCUCUCCAAUCAUACUUCCAAGAAAACUGCUCACUCUCAGAACCAAGGUUCAAGUUGUACAUUGUGAUUUGGGUAGAGGCUAUAUAUGCAGUGAUGCCCAUGCUACCCCUGAGAUCUAAAAAUCUAAGAUGAAAACAAGCACACAGUCUUGGCAGCACUGGGGUAACAGACUAUGAAAGAAGAAAUCAGAUUGGAAAAUUCAGUAUAUCAAUGAAGAAAAUAAUCACUCGAGAGGAAUAAACAGCAAAACAAUCUA
rnacentral:lncRNA from 1 species